UGACCAAAGAUUUAUCGGUGUAAGAUGGACUUGCGUCUGAUUAGCUAGUUGGUGAGAUAAAAGCCCACCAAGGCGACGAUCAGUAGCCGGCUUGAGAGAGUGUACGGCCACAUUGGGACUGAGACACGGCCCAAACUCCUACGGGAGGCAGCAGUGGGGAAUUUUGCACAAUGGGGGAAACCCUGAUGCAGCGACGCCGCGUGAUUUAGAAGGCCUUCGGGUUGUAAAAAUCUUUUUUAUGGGAUGAAAAUGACAGUACCAUAAGAAUAAGGUCCGGCUAAAUACGUGCCAGCAGCCGCGGUAAUACGUAUGGACCGAGCGUUGUCCGGAAUCAUUGGGCGUAAAGGGUACGUAGGCGGCCUAGUAAGUUAGAAGUGAAAUAAUAUAGCUCAACUAUAUAAAGCUUUUAAAACUGUUAGGCUUGAGAGAUGAAAGGGAAAGUGGAAUUCCUAGUGUAGCGGUGAAAUGCGCAGAUAUUAGGAAGAAUACCGGUGGCGAAGGCGACUUUCUGGUCAUCAUCUGACGCUGAGGUACGAAAGCGUGGGUAGCAAACAGGAUUAGAUACCCUGGUAGUCCACGCUGUAAACGAUGAGUGUUAGGUUCUUGGAAUAAUCUGGGAGCCGCAGCUAACGCAUUAAACACUCCGCCUGGGGAGUACGCACGCAAGUGUGAAACUCAAAGGAAUUGACGGGGACCCGCACAAGCAGCGGAGCAUGUGGUUUAAUUCGACGCAACGCGAAGAACCUUACCAAGUCUUGACAUAAUACGGAGGGAAUUAGAGAUAGUUUCUUAAGACUUCGGUCUACUGUAUUACAGGUGGUGCAUGGUUGUCGUCAGCUCGUGUCGUGAGAUGUUGGGUUAAGUCCCAUAACGAGCGCAACCCCUAUCGUUAGUUACCAUCAUUAAGUUGGGGACUCUAGCGAUACUGCCGGUGAUAAACCGGAGGAAGGUGGGGACGACGUCAAAUCAUCAUGCCCUUUAUGACUUGGGCUACACACGUGCUACAAUGGCAGAUACAGAGGGCAGCGAAAGAGCGAUCUGAAGCGAAACUCACAAAGUCUGUCCCAGUUCGGAUUGUACUCUGCAACUCGAGUACAUGAAGUUGGAGUUGCUAGUAAUCGCGAAUCAGAAUGUCGCGGUGAAUGCGUUCCCGGGUCUUGUACACACCGUUUAAAGGUUACAUGGGGGUGUAGCUCAGUUGGGAGAGCACCUGCCUU
rnacentral:rRNA from 1 species